GGAAGCAUGGCUUACUGGUAGAAUAUCUGCCUAGCAAGCACAAGGCUCUGAGUUCAAAUCCCAGUACCACCA
rnacentral:tRNA from 1 species